CCUACGGGCGGCAGCAGUGAGGACUAUUGGUCAAUGGCCGGAAGGCUGAACCAGCCAUGCCGCGUGAAGGUCAGUGCCCUAUGGGCGUUAAACUUCUUUUGUGCGGGAGCAAUAAUGGUCACGUGUGGCCAGACGAGAGUACCGUACGAAUAAGCAUCGGCUAACUCCGUGCCAGCAGCCGCGGUAAUACGGGGGAUGCAAGCGUUAUCCGGAUUUAUUGGGUUUAAAGGGUGCGUAGGCUGUGAGGUAAGUCAGCGGGGAAAUGCCCCCGCUCAACGGGGUGAAGUGCCAUUGAUACUGCCUUGCUGGAUUGCGGAUGCCGUGGGAGGAAUGUGUGGUGUAGCGGUGAAAUGCAUAGAUAUCACACAGAACACCGAUUGCGAAGGCAUCUCACGAAUCCGCGAUUGACGCUGAUGCACGAAAGCGUGGGUAUCAAACAGGAUUAGAUACCCGAGUAGUC
rnacentral:rRNA from 1 species